rnacentral:sRNA from 1 species
UUAGUUACAACCCUUAGUUAGAUUACUUAAAUCUCAUUACAAAUCAUAUAUAAUCUAUUAUAACUAAAUAAGCUAUUUUAAUAUAUAAUAAUGUUAACACAAAAGAAAAAAUUAUUAUUUUAAUAUUUGCCGUGGCUACAGUAGUGCAUCAAAUAUAGUGUUACACUGUACAAAAAAAGAGAAUCACACUAUUAUAGUGCAAAUUAUACCGUCUGAUUGGAGUGAAAAAGUAAACAUGCCCACGUUAUUUUAACGUUUUCCCGUGGCGUUGGACUUGGCCUUAGAUAUAAAUGAACUCAUGCCAGAAAAUAUUAAGUUACGUACUGUCAAUGAUUGAAAGUGAA